AGAGAGGCUGGGGAGCGGAAGGUGCUCUGGGCCUGGGGCCUCGUGAAUCUCUGCCUUGCAGGGAUGCUCUCUACUCACGUGCCUGGAAAAUUUCUCGGCUAUUACUUCAAUAUGCCCUUCUGGCCUCUCUGGUAUAUUGAGCUUUCCAUUGCAUGCCUCCUCUGUCUGAAUGGCAUAUUUGAGUUUUGCCUGU